rnacentral:rRNA from 1 species
AGAGUUUGAUCCUGGCUCAGAUUGAACGCUGGCGGCAGGCCUAACACAUGCAAGUCGAACGGUAGCACAGAGGAGCUUGCUCCUUGGGUGACGAGUGGCGGACGGGUGAGUAAUGUCUGGGAAACUGCCCGAUGGAGGGGGAUAACUACUGGAAACGGUAGCUAAUACCGCAUAACGUCGCAAGACCAAAGAGGGGGACCUUCGGGCCUCUUGCCAUCGGAUGUGCCCAGAUGGGAUUAGCUAGUAGGUGGGGUAACGGCUCACCUAGGCGACGAUCCCUAGCUGGUCUGAGAGGAUGACCAGCCACACUGGAACUGAGACACGGUCCAGACUCCUACGGGAGGCAGCAGUGGGGAAUAUUGCACAAUGGGCGCAAGCCUGAUGCAGCCAUGCCGCGUGUAUGAAGAAGGCCUUCGGGUUGUAAAGUACUUUCAGCGAGGAGGAAGGCGUUAAGGUUAAUAACCUUGGCGAUUGACGUUACUCGCAGAAGAAGCACCGGCUAACUCCGUGCCAGCAGCCGCGGUAA